rnacentral:rRNA from 1 species
UACGUAGGGUGCAAGCGUUGUCCGGAAUUAUUGGGCGUAAAGAGCUCGUAGGCGGUCUGUCGCGUCGGCUGUGAAAACCCGGAGCUCAACUCCGGGCCUGCAGUCGAUACGGGCAGACUGGAGUUCGGCAGGGGAGACUGGAAUUCCCGGUGUAGCGGUGAAAUGCGCAGAUAUCGGGAGGAACACCGGUGGCGAAGGCGGUUCUCUGGGCCUGUACUGACGCUGAGGAGCGAAAGCGUGGGGAGCGAACAGG